GUGCUUGUUUUUGCAACACAUAUACUAAAAUUGGAACAACAGAGAGAUGAUUAGCAUGGCCCCUGUGCAAGAUGACACACAAAUUCCCAAAGUGUUCCAUAUUUUU
ensembl:snRNA U6 U6 spliceosomal RNA